GCCUGAUGGAGGGGGAUAACUACUGGAAACGGUAGCUAAUACCGCAUGACGUCGCAAGACCAAAGUGGGGGACCUUCGGGCCUCACGCCAUCGGAUGAACCCAGAUGGGAUUAGCUGGUAGGUGGGGUAACGGCUCACCUAGGCGACGAUCCCUAGCUGGUCUGAGAGGAUGACCAGCCACACUGGAACUGAGACACGGUCCAGACUCCUACGGGAGGCAGCAGUGGGGAAUAUUGCACAAUGGGGGAAACCCUGAUGCAGCCAUGCCGCGUGUGUGAAGAAGGCCUUCGGGUUGUAAAGCACUUUCAGCGGGGAGGAAGGGAGCAGGGUUAAUAACCUUGUUCAUUGACGUUACCCGCAGAAGAAGCACCGGCUAACUCCGUGCCAGCAGCCGCGG
rnacentral:rRNA from 1 species